AUACGGAGGGUCCGAGCGUUAUCCGGAAUCAUUGGGUUUAAAGGGUCCGUAGGCGGGAAUCUAAGUCAGUGGUGAAAUCUUGCAGCUCAACUGUAAAAUUGCCAUUGAUACUGGAUUUCUUGAAUUAGUGUGAAGUGAUUAGAAUGUGUAGUGUAGCGGUGAAAUGCAUAGAUAUUACACAGAAUACCAAUUGCGAAGGCAGAUCACUAACACUAUAUUGACGCUGAGGGACGAAAGCGUGGGGAGCGAACAGAAUUAGAAACCCCGGUAGUCC
rnacentral:rRNA from 1 species